rnacentral:rRNA from 1 species
UACGGGGGGGGCAAGCGUUGUUCGGAAUUACUGGGCGUAAAGGGCGCGUAGGCGGCCAGACAAAGUCGAGCGUUAAAUUCCAGGGCUUAACCCUGGGCUGUUGCUCGAUACUAGUCGGCUAGAGUGUGGAAGAGGGUGCUGGAAUUCCCGGUGUAGCGGUGAAAUGCGUAGAUAUCGGGAGGAAUACCGAUGGCGAAGGCAGGUCUCUGGGCUGACACUGACGCUCAUGCACGAAAGCGUGGGGAGCAAACAGG